rnacentral:rRNA from 1 species
AUUGAACGCUAGCGGGAUGCUUUACACAUGCAAGUCGAACGGCAGCGCGGACUUCGGUCUGGCGGCGAGUGGCGAACGGGUGAGUAAUGUAUCGGAACGUGCCCAGUAGCGGGGGAUAACUACGCGAAAGCGUAGCUAAUACCGCAUACGCCCUACGGGGGAAAGCAGGGGAUCGUAAGGCCUUGCACUAUUGGAGCGGCCGAUAUCGGAUUAGCUAGUUGGUGAGGUAACGGCUCACCAAGGCGACGAUCCGUAGCUGGUUUGAGAGGACGACCAGCCACACUGGGACUGAGACACGGCCCAGACUCCUACGGGAGGCAGCAGUGGGGAAUUUUGGACAAUGGGGGCAACCCUGAUCCAGCCAUCCCGCGUGUGCGAUGAAGGCCUUCGGGUUGUAAAGCACUUUUGGCAGGAAAGAAACGUCGCGGGCUAAUACCCCGUGGAACUGACGGUACCUGCAGAAUAAGCACCGGCUAACUACGU